AUUUGAUAGUACCUUACUACAUGGAUACCUGUGGUAAUUCUAGAGCUAAUACAUGCUAAAAACCUCGACUUCGGAAGGGGUGUAUUUAUUAGAUAAAAAACCAAUGCCCUUCGGGGCUCCUUGGUGAAUCAUAAUAACUUAACGAAUCGCAUGGCCUUGCGCCGGCGAUGGUUCAUUCAAAUUUCUGCCCUAUCAACUUUCGAUGGUAGGAUAGUGGCCUACCAUGGUGGCAACGGGUAACGGGGAAUUAGGGUUCGAUUCCGGAGAGGGAGCCUGAGAAACGGCUACCACAUCCAAGGAAGGCAGCAGGCGCGCAAAUUACCCAAUCCCGACACGGGGAGGUAGUGACAAUAAAUACUGAUACGGGGCUCUUUUGGGUCUCGUAAUUGGAAUGAGUACAAUCUAAAUCCCUUAACGAGGAACAAUUGGAGGGCAAGUCUGGUGCCAGCAGCCGCGGUAAUUCCAGCUCCAAUAGCGUAUAUUAAAGUUGUUGCAGUUAAAAAGCUCGUAGUUGAACCUUGGGUCUGGCUGGCCGGUCCGCCUCACCGCGAGUACUGGUCCGGCUGGACCUUUCCUUCUGGGGAACCUCAUGGCCUUCACUGGCUGUGGGGGGAACCAGGACUUUUACUGUGAAAAAAUUAGAGUGUUCAAAGCAGGCCUUUGCUCGAAUACAUUAGCAUGGAAUAAUAGAAUAGGACGUGCGGUUCUAUUUUGUUGGUUUCUAGGACCGCCGUAAUGAUUAAUAGGGAUAGUCGGGGGCGUCAGUAUUCAGCUGUCAGAGGUGAAAUUC
rnacentral:rRNA from 1 species